rnacentral:tRNA from 1 species
GGAUGGUGGCUCAGUGGUAGAGCACUUGCCUAGCAUGCGUGAGGCACUGGGUUCAAUUCUCAGCACCA